rnacentral:rRNA from 1 species
UACAGAGGGUGCAAGCGUUAAUCGGAAUUACUGGGCGUAAAGCGUGCGUAGACGGUCACGUAAGUCGGGUGUGAAAGCCCCGGGCUCAACCUGGGAAUUGCAUUCGAGACUGCAUGGCUAGGGUGCGGAAGAGGGAAGCGGAAUUUCCGGUGUAGCGGUGAAAUGCGUAGAUAUCGGAAGGAACACCUGUGGCGAAAGCGGCUCACUGGACCACAACUGACGCUGAGGCGCGAAAGCUAGGGGAGCAAACAGG